rnacentral:rRNA from 1 species
CGCGUAGGCGGGUUUGUAAGUCAGAGGUGAAAUCCUACAGCUUAACUGUAGAACUGCCUUUGAUACUGCAGAUCUUGAGUUUGGAAGAGAGAGACGGAAUUCCAUGUGUAGUGGUGAAAUACGUAGAUAUCUGGAAGAACACCAGUGGCGAAGGCGGUCUCUUGGUCCAUAACUGACGCUGAGGCGCGAAAGCGUGGGGAGCAAACAGGAUUAGAUACCCUGGUAGUCC